GGGGAAUAUUGCGCAAUGGGGGAAACCCUGACGCAGCAAUACCGCGUGAGUGAAGAAGGUUUUCGGAUCGUAAAGCUCUGUUAUUGGGGAAGAAAAAAAGACGGUACCCAAGAAGAAAGUCCCGGCUAACUACGUGCCAGCAGCCGCGGUAAUACGAAGGGGGCUAGCGUUGCUCGGAAUUACUGGGCGUAAAGGGCGCGUAGGCGGACAGUUUAGUCAGAGGUGAAAGCCCAGGGCUCAACCUUGGAAUUGCCUUUGAUACUGGCUGUCUUGAGUUCGGGAGAGGUGAGUGGAAUGCCGAGUGUAGAGGUGAAAUUCGUAGAUAUUCGGCGGAACACCAGUGGCGAAGGCGACUCACUGGCCCGAUACUGACGCUGAGGCGCGAAAGCGUGGGGAGCAAACA
rnacentral:rRNA from 1 species